rnacentral:rRNA from 1 species
UACAGAGGUGGCAAGCGUUGUUCGGAAUUACUGGGCGUAAAGGGCGCGUAGGCGGCCUUCUAAGUCAGACGUGAAAUCCCCCGGCUUAACCUGGGAACUGCGUCUGAUACUGGGAGGCUAGAGUGCGGGAGAGGGAUGCGGAAUUCCAGGUGUAGCGGUGAAAUGCGUAGAUAUCUGGAGGAACACCGAUGGCGAAGGCGGCAUCCUGGACCGACACUGACGCUGAGGCGCGAAAGCUAGGGUAGCAAACGGG